UACGUAGGGUGCGAGCGUUAUUCGGAAUUACUGGGCGUAAAGCGUGCGCAGGCGGCUUUGUAAGCCGGAUGUGAAAUCCCCGGGCUUAACCUGGGAAUGGCAUUCGGGACUGCAAGGCUGGAGUGCGGCAGAGGAGACUGGAAUUCCUGGUGUAGCAGUGAAAUGCGUAGAUAUCAGGAGGAACACCGAUGGCGAAGGCAGGUCUCUGGGCUGACACUGACGCUCAUGCACGAAAGCGUGGGGAGCAAACAGG
rnacentral:rRNA from 1 species